rnacentral:lncRNA from 1 species
AUUUGGUGCAAGUUCAUAUCUCGACCCACAUCCUGACUCACUCUUUAUUCAUCGAACCGCAGCCCUGUUUUUCGUUUUUCGUUGUAAACAGCAGUAACGACUGUUGGGUCAUGGGAACUUUAGGUCACAGACAUCCGCUCCUUUUCUUUUUUAAGUCACGGGCGCCAAGUAAAUCACGGGUGCCUGCAACAUGCAAGCGUAAGCGCACAUCAGAAUAUCAGCGCACAUCCAUGGAUGAGUGCUGGUUGGACAUGAGCGAGUGUCGAUCACAUCCUUAGAGAUG